CUACUUUUAUUUUUAAAUUAAUUAUAAUUUAAGUGUUAUAUUCUAUUAAUUUAGAUUUUGGUCCUUCUUCUGCAUUAAUCAUAAAGAUUUCUGGGAAACCGCUAAAAAAAGAUUUUGGUCCUUCUUCUGCAUUUACCCGUAUUUUUUGUUCUUCCUCUGUUUUCCCUCUUCGACAGUCACGCUCGCCGUCGUUGUUCUGGUGAGAUCAACUCUUCACGUGUGCGACGCUUUUCUCUUCUCCGACUGAACAAUAACACGGUAUAUACAAUACUAAAAUAUUUACAAUUUGGCCAAGUAGUACACAUUUGAUAUUUAUAUAUUUCACAAGGGUACACCUGAUCAUCAGGAGCAUAUAAAUUGUUCAAAGUGCACCUAGUUAUGCACCGCACUUUUUUGCACAAUUCUCUCCGGGAGGCAUUCACCCGUCACAUUCUAACACCGUUCUACAUGCGGGAACACAAAGUGCACCUAGAUAUACCUCGUUUACGUCUGCGUUGGAGGAGGUGGAGCGUUCGGCAAAUCGUCGCAAGUUAUAGAAAGUGAAAUCAUAUUGUUACAUGCAUUUCAAGCUGUUUUUUACUCUGUCAAUGUUAUUGUGGCUCCUAUUUUGACAUUCAAAUUUCAAAUACCAAAUUUAUUAAAUAAUAAUUACAAUUAAUUUGCUGAUUGAA